rnacentral:rRNA from 1 species
GACGAACGUUGGCGGCGUGCUUAACACAUGCAAGUCGAACGGAAAGGCCCUGCUUUUGUGGGGUGCUCGAGUGGCGAACGGGUGAGUAACACGUGAGUAACCUGCCCUUGACUUUGGGAUAACUUCAGGAAACUGGGGCUAAUACCGGAUAGGAGCUCCUGCUGCAUGGUGGGGGUUGGAAAGUUUCGGCGGUUGGGGAUGGACUCGCGGCUUAUCAGCUUGUUGGUGGGGUAGUGGCUUACCAAGGCUUUGACGGGUAGCCGGCCUGAGAGGGUGACCGGCCACAUUGGGACUGAGAUACGGCCCAGACUCCUACGGGAGGCAGCAGUGGGGAAUAUUGCACAAUGGGCGGAAGCCUGAUGCAGCAACGCCGCGUGCGGGAUGACGGCCUUCGGGUUGUAAACCGCUUUCGCCUGUGACGAAGCGUGAGUGACGGUAAUGGGUAAAGAAGCACCGGCUAACUACGUGCCAGCAGCCGCGGUGAUACGUAGGGUGCGAGCGUUGUCCGGAUUUAUUGGGCGUAAAGGGCUCGUAGGUGGUUGAUCGCGUCGGAAGUGUAAUCUUGGGGCUUAACCCUGAGCGUGCUUUCGAUACGGGUUGACUUGAGGAAGGUAGGGGAGAAUGGAAUUCCUGGUGGAGCGGUGGAAUGCGCAGAUAUCAGGAGGAACACCAGUGGCGAAGGCGGUUCUCUGGGCCUUUCCUGACGCUGAGGAGCGAAAGCGUGGGGAGCGAACAGGCUUAGAUACCCUGGUAGUCCACGCUGUAAACGGUGGGUACUAGGUGUGGGGUCCAUUCCACGGGUUCCGUGCCGUAGCUAACGCUUUAAGUACCCCGCCUGGGGAGUACGGCCGCAAGGCUAAAACUCAAAGGAAUUGACGGGGCCCCGCACAAGCGGCGGAGCAUGCGGAUUAAUUCGAUGCAACGCGUAGAACCUUACCUGGGUUUGACAUGGAUCGGGAGUGCUCAGAGAUGGGUGUGCCUCUUUUGGGGUCGGUUCACAGGUGGUGCAUGCCUGUCGUCAGCUCGUGUCGUGAGAUGUUGGGUUAAGUCCCGCAACGAGCGCAACCCUUGUUCACUGUUGCCAGCACGUUAUGGUGGGGACUCAGUGGAGACCGCCGGGGUCAACUCGGAGGAAGGUGGGGAUGACGUCAAGUCCUCAUGCCCCUUAUGUCCAGGGCUUCACGCAUGCUGCAAUGGCUGGUACAGAGAGUGGCGAGCCUGUGAGGGUGAGCGAAUCUCGGAAAGCCGGUCUCAGUUCGGAUUGGGGUCUGCAACUCGACCUCAUGAAGUCGGAGUCGCUAGUAAUCGCAGAUCAGCAACGCUGCGGUGAAUACGUUCCCGGGACU